rnacentral:lncRNA from 1 species
CUGUUUGAGGAAGAUCCACAUGAUACUUUUGAGCAAGGCAAGUGGAUUCUCACUCUGCAUUUCUUAUUGUACCCAAACAAUACAUUUAAUAAGAUUUACUUUUAGGUAUGUGCAUAAUUUGAUGGGUUUGCCUAAAUUGGAUUACCUAGAAAUACCAACCUUAUUCCUUGAUUAACCUAGGUUUAAUACUGUUGGGGGUCUCCUUCUCUGCCGAAGGUACUCAAGACGGAGAUAUUGUCUGUAAGCAACAAGAUUGAAUGCCGAAGCUACAACAAACAUGUGUAAAGAGCCAAAGGAUGAUAGCUUCGGCUUAAGGUGGCGACGAGGGUCAAACAUAAUGUUGAGUCGAAGAGGAAAAUACUAGUUAAUCUCUGAUGUUUUGUAUUCGGAUUAUGUGUACAUGUUAAGGUCAUAAAUAUAUUUUUACUUGGGUUGUGUCCCGUGGCUAUAAAUAGGUGAACAGUACCCCCCAUACUGUUCAUGCUGGAUGGGAAUUGCAUUCACGCUUUUGUCUUCUAGCAAGCCGAAGGUACAAUUGUAAUACACAUUAUGUAUCACUUUGUC